UACGUAGGGCGCAAGCGUUGUCCGGAAUUAUUGGGCGUAAAGAGCUCGUAGGCGGCUUGUCACGUCGGAUGUGAAAGCCCGGGGCUUAACUCCAGGUCUGCAUUCGAUACGGGCUGGCUAGAGUGUGGUAGGGGAGAUCGGAAUUCCUGGUGUAGCGGUGAAAUGCGCAGAUAUCAGGAGGAACACCGGUGGCGAAGGCGGAUCUCUGGGCCAUUACUGACGCUGAGGAGCGAAAGCGUGGGGAGCGAACAGG
rnacentral:rRNA from 1 species